AUGGUACCAGGGCUUGUAGUCCAUAAUAAUAAUAGAAGAUUGAAGCUUCCAAGAGUGAUUAUAAUGAGAAGGAUAAAAGGACACAUCAUAACAUCAAAUGGCUUUUCCCUGGUGUUCUGGAUCUCUUCACUAAUAAGAAGGAUAUCUAUAUUUGGUACAUUUUCUGCAAAGCUUCAGAUUUUUCUGUCAAGUUUGUUGAAUUGUGGCACAUUUUUAAAUAUGUAUGCAUGGUUGAAGGUCUCAGCUGAUCCUUCCAACCGGAUCCUAUCGCCUAAAAUAGUGCUUCACAGCCCUGGCUAAUCAAGGGAACCAGGAGAGGAGCUUUGAAAACUGCUGUUGCCCGGGAGCAACUGGCUGGCUUACUAGUAGGUAGAGCAUGGGAUUCUGGAUCUUAAACUCUUGAGUUCAAGCCCCAUGCUGGGUAUGGAGCCUACCUGGGGGCUGGGGAAAAGGCUGUUGAUCACUGGACACAACCAUGCUCAAUAGAAUUAGAACCAGAGGGGAUGGGACUGCUUUAAAUGUGCUUAAGGUGAUUGUAUUGUGCAGGCAGUCCGUAAUCAUGUGCCUGAAAAGAACAUUAAUACCUCUGCAGCUUAUUAUAGUACACAGAGUGACUCUAAAUUAGUAAGAGUAUUUCACACCAAAGCGGCUAGUAUUCUAUGUCUUUCCUCCUCUUUUAAGAAUUCAUUUCUCACUAGGUUCCUAAUUUAGGGAAAAAAAUGACUGAUUUCUACUGUAUAGCAGAGUCUUUUUUAUACAUAUGUUGCCCAUUUGUCGCUAUGCUUUUUCUAAGUACUUGGGAUUUCUCAAAACUGCACAUCAAUCAAAAAUCUUCUAUUUCCCUUUGUCUCUGAAGAAAAAAUGUCCUCAUUCCUCCCUCUUAUCACCAAGACCCACCUAUGGUCCUCUUCCAUGCUACGAGUCAGCACAGCCCUAAGAUGUGGGCAGUAACGUCCUCAAACAUAGGCAUUCCAUCUCUCAUGAGGGAACUAAGUACCUUCCCUCCAACUGAAAUGUUUCUGAAAUAUUCUUCAGCCACCUGAGUGUUCUGUCAUUUUUGUCUGUCAUCUGAGAGUCAAAGCUAUGCAUGUUGAUGCGCUCCUUCCUAAGUGGCCAAAUAAAUUACAUACGUUUUUUAUUCA
rnacentral:lncRNA from 1 species